UACGUAGGUGGCAAGCGUUGUCCGGAUUUAUUGGGUUUAAAGGGUGCGUAGGCGGUCUUUUAAGUCAGUGCUGAAAAUUGAUCCCGGCUUAACCGGGACGGGUGGCAUUGAUAUACUGAAGGACUUGAGUUCAGUCGAGGUAGGCGGAAUUGACGGUGUAGCGGUGAAAUGCUUAGAUAAUCGUCAAGAACACCGAUAGUGUAGACAGCUUACUAGGCUGAAACUGACGCUGAGGCACGAAAGUGUGGGGAUCGAAACAGG
rnacentral:rRNA from 1 species